rnacentral:rRNA from 1 species
ACAAUUAGCUGUUGGGACACUAGAUGUCUUAGUAGCGAAGCUAACGCGUGAAAUUGUCCGCCUGGGGAGUACGGUCGCAAGAUUAAAACUCAAAGGAAUUGACGGGGACCCGCACAAGCGGUGGAUGAUGUGGAUUAAUUCGAUGCAACGCGAAGAACCUUACCUGGUCUUGACAUGUACGGAAUCUCUUAGAGAUAGGAGAGUGCCUUCGGGAACCGUAACACAGGUGCUGCAUGGCUGUCGUCAGCUCGUGUCGUGAGAUGUUGGGUUAAGUCCCGCAACGAGCGCAACCCUUGUCAUUAGUUGCCAUCAUUAAGUUGGGCACUCUAAUGAGACUGCCGGUGAUAUGCCGGAGGAAGGUGGGGAUGACGUCAAGUCCUCAUGGCCCUUAUGACCAGGGCUUCACACGUCAUACAAUG